rnacentral:rRNA from 1 species
UACGUAGGGUCCAAGCGUUAAUCGGAAUUACUGGGCGUAAAGCGUGCGCAGGCGGUUUUGUAAGACGGAUGUGAAAUCCCCGGGCUCAACCUGGGAACUGCAUUUGUGACUGCAUCGCUGGAGUGCGGCAGAGGGGGAUGGAAUUCCGCGUGUAGCAGUGAAAUGCGUAGAUAUGCGGAGGAACACCGAUGGCGAAGGCAAUCCCCUGGGCCUGCACUGACGCUCAUGCACGAAAGCGUGGGGAGCAAACAGG